rnacentral:piRNA from 1 species
UGCAUUUUUGUGUGUUUGUGCAUGUAAGU